rnacentral:rRNA from 1 species
GACGAACGCUGGCGGCGUGCCUAAUACAUGCAAGUCGAGCGAACCGGCGGAUGGGUGACUCACGCGUGGGUAACCUGCCCUUAAGUCUGGGAUACUAUUUGCAAACAGUUGCUCAUACCGGAUACUAAAGGAUGGACCUGCGAUUCAUUAGCUAGUUGGUAAGGUAACGGCUUACCAAGGCGAUGAUGCAGAGACGAGGUGAGAGAGUGAUCGGCCACAUUGGGACUGAGACACGGCCCAAACUCCUACGGGAGGCAGCAGUAGGGAAUCUUCGACAAUGGACGAAAGUAUGAGGGAGCAACGCCGCGUGAGUGAAGAAGGUUUUCGGAUCGUAAAGCUCUGUUGUUGGUGAAGCGGUAAUCAACCAGAAAGUCACGGCUAACUACGUGCCAGCAGCCGCGGUAAUUC